UUACUUACCUGGCAGGGUAGAAUUGGUGGUCACGCUGGCCGCUCUCCCAGGAUGAGACUAUCCCAUUGCACUUCAGCUGUGCUGAUGCCUGUGAUGUCCUCAAAUGCAAGCUACUCGACUGCAGAAUUUGUGGUAGUGGAGGACUGCGUUCGCACUUGAG